GGCAGUUAGUUUAUUUAAAACGUUUGAUUUCGACUCAUCCAAACAUGGUACUCUCCAUGAUUACCA
rnacentral:tRNA from 1 species